rnacentral:rRNA from 1 species
AUUGAACGCUGGCGGCAGGCCUAACACAUGCAAGUCGAGCGAGCGGCGGACGGGUGUGUAAUGUGUGGGGGACUGCCCGAUGGGGGGGGGUAACAACUCGGGACACGAUAUAUAACCGCAUAUGCUCACAUGUGCGCAGAUGGGAUUGGCGAGUGGGUGGGGUAACGGCUCACCUAGGCGACGAGCCCUAGCUGGUCUGAGAGGAUGACCAGCCACACUGGAACUGAGACACGGUCCAGACUCCUACGGGAGGCAACAGUGGGGAAUAUUGCACAAUGGGCGCAAGCCUGAUGCAGCCAUGCCGCGUGUGUGAAGAAGGCCUUCGGGUUGUAAAGCACUUUCAGCGGGGAGGCGUUACCCGCAGAAGAAGCACCGGCUAACUCCGUGCCAGCAGCCGCGGUAAUUC